UAACACGAAGUGAGUGGCGAACGGGUGAGUAACACGUGGGUAACCUGCCCAGAAGCAGGGGAUAACACCUGGAAACAGAUGCUAAUACCGUAUAACAGAGAAAACCGCAUGGUUUUCUUUUAAAAGAUGGCUCUGCUAUCACUUCUGGAUGGACCCGCGGCGUAUUAGCUAGUUGGUGAGGCAAAGGCUCACCAAGGCAGUGAUACGUAGCCGACCUGAGAGGGUAAUCGGCCACAUUGGGACUGAGACACGGCCCAGAUCCUACGGGAGGCAGCAGUAGGAAUCUUCCACAAUGGACGCAAGUCUGAUGGAGCAACGCCGCGUGAGUGAAGAAGGGUUUCGGCUCGUAAAGCUCUGUUGUUAAAGAAGAACGUGGGUAAGAGUAACUGUUUACCCAGUGACGGUAUUUAACCAGAAAGCCACGGCUAACUACGUGCCAGCAGCCGCGGUAAUACGUAGGUGGCAAGCGUUAUCCGGAUUUAUUGGGCGUAAAGCGAGCGCAGGCGGUCUUUUAAGUCUAAUGUGAAAGCCUUCGGCUCAACCGAAGAAGUGCAUUGGAAACUGGGAGACUUGAGUGCAGAAGAGGACAGUGGAACUCCAUGUGUAGCGGUGAAAUGCGUAGAUAUAUGGAAGAACACCAGUGGCGAAGGCGGCUGUCUGGUCUGCAACUGACGCUGAGGCUCGAAAGCAUGGGUAGCGAACAGGAUUAGAUACCCUGGUAGUCCAUGCCGUAAACGAUGAUUACUAAGUGUUGGAGGGUUUCCGCCCUUCAGUGCUGCAGCUAACGCAUUAAGUAAUCCGCCUGGGGAGUACGACCGCAAGGUUGAAACUCAAAAGAAUUGACGGGGGCCCGCACAAGCGGUGGAGCAUGUGGUUUAAUUCGAAGCUACGCGAAGAACCUUACCAGGUCUUGACAUCUUCUGACAGUCUAAGAGAUUAGAGGUUCCCUUCGGGGACAGAAUGACAGGUGGUGCAUGGUUGUCGUCAGCUCGUGUCGUGAGAUGUUGGGUUAAGUCCCGCAACGAGCGCAACCCUUAUUACUAGUUGCCAGCAUUAAGUUGGGCACUCUAGUGAGACUGCCGGUGACAAACCGGAGGAAGGUGGGGACGACGUCAAAUCAUCAUGCCCCUUAUGACCUGGGCUACACACGUGCUACAAUGGAUGGUACAACGAGUCGCGAAACCGCGAGGUUAAGCUAAUCUCUUAAAACCAUUCUCAGUUCGGACUGUAGGCUGCAACUCGCCUACACGAAGUCGGAAUCGCUAGUAAUCGCGGAUCAGCAUGCCGCGGUGAAUACGUUCCCGGGCCUUGUACACACCGCCCGUCACACCAUGAGAGUUUGUAACACCCAAAGCCGGUGG
rnacentral:rRNA from 1 species